rnacentral:rRNA from 1 species
AACGGAAUCCAUGGUGUAGCAAUACACCGGAAGAUCUAGUGGCGAACGGGUGAGGAACACGUGAGAAACGUACCCCAGACUUUGGGAUAACAGUUCGAAAGGACUGCUAAUACCAAAUAACGUCGGAAGUCCGCAUGGACAUCUGACGAAAGGGACUCCGGUUUGGGAGCGUCUCGCGGACCUAUCAGCUAGUUGGAGGGGUAACGGCCCACCAAGGCAACGACGGGUAGCUGGUCUGAGAGGAUGGUCAGCCACACUGGGACUGAGACACGGCCCAGACUCC